UUUUGAGGACAGCAUAAAAAAAGCAUGGAUGUAAUUCACAGUAAUGCAUAAUAAAACCAACAGAAAAAAUUUCAACACAACGUUUAUACUGCGCGUUAAAUUUGCCCGUGAAAUCCAAAAAUAUUGCGAUGAGCUAAAACAGGAUGGCCACACGGCCACCUCCAAAUAGUUUUUUGGCACGCUGGGAGCGUUUUUUGGAAAUAAUAUUUUCGGUUCCGUGCGCUUUGAAUGUGGCCACAUAACAUAUAAAAAACCCAGGCAAAACAAAAAUAUCGAUUGGACAGGCAUGUUCGAUCUCUCGUGGAAUCACCCUGAGGUAAUUUUUGCAUCUCUUUCAAUGUAGUUGCACCAUCAGUGUCCAAAUGUGCCAUUUAAAAAAAAAAUGCUGCCCAGAAUAUCCCGUUAACUGGAGUUGUGGUUGUGCUGCCGUGACCUAGCUUAGUGCUCUCUUUACAUACAGUAUAAACAUUCACCUUGAACAUUACGGUUGGCUUUAGAUGGAUUGUGGCAGUUCAGAAAAAUAAGUAAAAUGAAGGUUGCAAAUGCAGAGCUUAACUGCUAAGAAAGAAUGCCUGAGUUCGCCUCUUCAAAAUGGGAGCUGUUUCUUCUGCAGAAGUUUGGAUGUCAUGUUUUAAAUUCUAAAAACCUCUUCUGCGACCUUGUGCAGGUCGAUCUUGGCCCACGACUGUAAAUGGAAAACCAAAAGUGGCGGUGGCGGUGUUCUCUGUCAGAGAAACAGCAAAAGUACUAUCGCACAACGAAACAUUGCACAACUGAAGCAUCGCCUGUGCCUCAUGCUGCUGUUUCAUCAAAGAUCAAGGUCAUCGCCCUUGGAGGGACUUUAUGCAUGGCAGCAUGGUUCGAGUUCCACACGGAGAAUCCUGAAGCUAAUUCUUCCAAGGCAGAGCGGGGCAUGCUGAAAGUUAUCAGAAGGCCGAAAGAAUAAAUCGGUGGUUCAUCUGCAUGUACAACCAUCGUCAAGUGUUAUCAUGUACUGUUUUUUGCAGCUGCAUAAUAUUAAACAGUCCGAGUCUGCCCCAGCAGCCCAUAUG